GAAAGGAUGGAGGCCAUUACUCAUCUUCUGACACGUCUCUGCCGGAGGUGAAGAGGACAACCGUGCAGGGGGUGUGGAUCUUUGAUCGAGCGAAUUAAAGGUUCGGCGAGAGGACGGCUCACUUCUGACUGGACCUGUUCCACAACCCAGGGGAACACGACGGACCUCUGGAGCUGGAGCUUGACUCGGGUGUUGGUGGGACAAGGAGGACCUUCCACUGUUCCUCUCGGUCUCUCGCUGUGGUGAGGGCUUUCCCCUCUCCCAGAGUUUGCGCGUGCGUCCUGAUACCUCUCCUUUGUUUUCCUGACCUGCUGAACUUGACUCUUUGUUUGGCCCCGUCACUGACACUGUGUCCCCCCUGUCCACCCAGGACGCUGCUCUGACUGGUGCUCAGAGACUGACCGCUGAUCUCCAGCCCUGACCUCUCCCAGCGAACCCGCGAGGUGCUGCUCGGAGUCUCAGUGCUCCACUUCUCCUCACGCACCCGUCCCCCUCCCCCCGAGACCCGGACCCUUCCUCUCUGCUGUGACUCAUCUGGGUCUGUGAGCCUCCACGCCGUCAACAACACCAGCAGAUGCCAUUAAAGUGCAGCGCUCUGGCAGCACAGAUGUGUUCCUGCCCUUUUAAACCCGUCCUGCUGCGACUCAACCAUCAAACAGUAGCAAUGUGGCUGCAAUUAUAACUCUGGGGGUUUGCCCUUCUGCCUCCUCCAAACGCUCUGCAAGUGAGAGUCCGUUUCCUGAGGCUGCUCUGACUCCGCACCAACGACAACAACCGCUCCUCGCCGUGAGAACCAGGCGCAGGAGCGAAACUGUGGACGUUUGCGUGUCUUCGCCCCAGUCAGGAGGUCAAGCCGUGGGUCCCACUCCACGUGGUGGCUUACUGUGGCAGCGUGUCGAGACCUGAGCAACUGACUCUGUCGCAGCGUGAGACACCAUCCACCUCUCCUGGCACAACACCACGCAGGAGACCCACACACCUGCGGCCCUGUGGACCAGAGGCUUCUCUUCCUCUGAUCGACUCCACCUUCACCACCUUCAACGCCCCUGGUGUGACGGAGGUGUGAACACAUAAUGGGGCUUUGGUUCCAUUAUUCAUCCUCCUCCUCCAGCCAGCAUGCCUUCAUGUCCUUCAUCUCCAUCCUGGGCCUCGUUGGCUGACCUCCUCUCCUUCAUCACCAACAUGCUUGGUCCAUCACUGUCUCGACUCUCCACGUGAGCAAACCCUGACUGUGUGGCCUCAUGACCCUCUGGCUCUGUCUCUCGUUGUCUCCACCCAGCCUGCAUUCUCCUCACCACCACCUGCACUUCCCAAAUCAGGCCGGCUUCAGAUGUGAGAAACUGUGGACCUCUCAGCUUCACAUUCCUGCAGCUGCUGUCUCAGCGUCAGCAGUGGAGGCUUGGUCUGUGCAGCAGGACCUUCAGGACCAGGCUGCCGGAGCUGGUGUGCAAAGUCCUUAAACCCUGCUUGAAAAGGACGUUGUGUGUGGCGGGGGAGGAGCCUGCAGCGUUCCUUUGAUGCCUUGCUGAAAGGCAAACAUGUUGGCUCAGACACUUGACAGGAAGCUGUCGGCUCUUGCUGCGCCGAGCAGAGAAGUCACGGAACGCUCCGAAACAAACAGAGAAAUCAGGCAGGUUUUGUUUGUCAGUACAGCGUGUUCCGUCUUCGCAACACUUUCAUUGACGUGGGCUUGUGCGCUGGCAGGGCGCCAGGCUGACGAGCGUUUGCUGAAACUUAGCGGGUCAAGUACCAACCUGCCGCGUGCAGCAGCGUGGCCCAGGGACACGAAGGAAAAUCAUUGAUCCAGGUUCAACAGAGAGCAGCAACCCAUGGUUCUGAUCCAAGAUGAGUCGUCCGGCCCCAUGCCACAGACUCUGGAGUCGGGGGUCAGAACCGCAGGUUUGGAUCAGGCUCACAGUCAGAAACAGCUUCCAACUAACAGGCUUCACAGAGACAUGAAGGAGGUGAAGAGGAGAGUGCAGGCGGGAGAAGACCAUGCCAUAAACUGACACCGUUCUGACCCAGGGGUCGAGACCAACACGCUUGUCGUCCAGAAUCAAAGGGGAGUCGGAGCCUGUGAGGACCAACGAUCGCUCACCUGCACUGGUCUUUAGGAGAGCGCAAGGACCAUGAGACCCCCAACAUCUGCCGUCCGUGAAGGACAUCAAACACAACAAGUUGGAGGCAGCUUCGUCCCACGACAUCACGCUUGACCUCUGACCUCUGCCAGCAGCUCCAGCUGGAGACUGAACCACUGAGCAACAGUCAGACUGAGAAAUGAGAAACAGUCCUCACCUGGCACAAGGUCACCUUCAGCCAUUAUCAUGUCAUUACUGACUGUAGUUCUGACAUGAGGACACUGUGAUGAGGAUGAUGAAGGUGAGGAUGAUGGUGAUGAUGAAGGUGAGGCUGAAGAUGAUGAAGGUGAGGAUAAAGAUGCUAGUGAUGAAGAUGAUGAAGGUGACGUGUUCUUCUCAGAAUGUUUCCAGUUUCUACUGGAAACAGACAUAUUCAAUGACAAAUGAGGCUCAGAGCCUCUGUUUCUGUGACAGACCCAUUAAAACCCUCUUAAUUGGCCAGUUAACAGCAGCAUGUGAACGUCUCCACAUCUGCGCUUUGUUCUUUAUUCCCUCCUCGCAGUGAUGUCACCGCCGUCCCAUUGUCGUGGAGCGCGAUGACAGAGCCUUCCGUGACUGUCGGCCACUUUGUUUAGCCAAAACAAGCCAAAGCCAGCAGCUAAUUCUGGCUGCACUCACUCCCACCGCAGCAACGUUUCAUGUCCUUCUGACCAGAGUCGCCUGGGAAGGAGGCAGUGUGUUGUCAUGGUCUCACUCACAGCUCUGCUCCCUGAGUCCCAGCUUCUUCUCAGACUGGACUCUCAAAACCCCCCCUGCUGCUCAAAGUUCUGCCCCAAAAACGACCAGGAGCAGAACAAGCCACCCUGAGCCUGUGGCCCC